GGUGUCGUUCCGGAACAUCCGGGUUUCUUUUUAUGUCUAAGUUACAUAUGUGUUGAUCAUAUUGCAUUAUAGGAUUAAUAAAUGUAUAUUUUCUUUUUCCUUGCAUGCUUCUUAGUAGUGUACUUAUGAGUUGAAUGUUAAGGAUUUUAUAAGUUGGCGAAUUUCGUGAUGGUUUGAAUGGAGUCUCGAAGAAUUAGAAGAUGAAGAUUGACGAAAAGAAUUGAAGUUUUUGUGAUCAAAGACCCUUGAGAACUCAGGUAUGAUUAUAAAUAAUUUGUGGUGAAGUUUUCAUUGUUAAAAGAUGUUUAGAAGACUUGGUUUCCUUUUUGUUUAUUCAAACUUAAGUUUUCUGGAAA
rnacentral:lncRNA from 1 species